GACGAACGCUGGCGGCGUGCCUAAUACAUGCAAGUCGAGCGGUAAAGGUUGGUACUUGUGCCAACUGGGUGAGCAGCGAACGGGUGAGUAACGCGUGGGGAAUCUGCCUUUGAGCGGGGGACAACAUUGGGACACGAAUGCUAAUACCGCAUAAAAACUUUAAACACAAGUUGUAGGAAGGAAAGAUGCAAUUGCAUCACUCAGAGGUGAUCCCGCGUUGUAUUAGGUAGUUGGUGAGGUAAGGGCACACCAAGGCGGGGAUACAUAGCCGACCUGAGAGGGUGGUCGGGCCCGUUGGGAAGGAGACACGGCCCAAAUGCCUACGGGAGGCGGCCGUAGGGAAUCCUCGGCGAAGGAGGAAAGACUGACCGAGCAACGCCGGGUGAGUGAAGAAGGGUUUCGGAUCGUAAAACUCUGUUGGUCGGGAAGAACGUUGGUGAGAGUGGAAAGCUCAUCAAGUGACGGUAACUUCCCAGAAAGGCACGGCUAACUACGUG
rnacentral:rRNA from 1 species